rnacentral:rRNA from 1 species
UUAAACGGCCGCGGUAUCCUAACCGUGCAAAGGUAGCGUAAUCAUUUGUCCCCUAAAUAGAGACCUGUAUGAAUGGCUAAAUGAGGACUAACCUGUCUCCUUUAAUUAAUCAGUGAAACUGAUCUGCCAGUACAAAAGCUGGUAUAUAAUCAUUAGACGAGAAGACCCUGUGGAGCUUUAAAUCUAAAACCAACACCAAACAACCAAAAAUCAACCAUGGUUCAAGAUUUUAAGUUGGGGCGACUUCGGAACAAAACAAAACUUCCGAGCAUAAGGAAAUCUACCUAACCAAGACCCACAAGUCAAAACAAAACUGACCCAGUACAACUGAUCACCGAACCAAGUUACCCCAGGGAUAACAGCGCAAUCUUCUUCAAGAGUUCUUAUCGACAAGAAGGUUUACGACCUCGAUGUUGGAUCAGGACACCCAAAUGGUGCAGCCGCUAUUAAAGGUUC